rnacentral:rRNA from 1 species
UGCUGAAAGCAUCUAAGCACGAAACUUGCCCCGAGAUGAGUUCUCCCUGAGACUGUAAGUCUCCUGAAGGAACGUUGAAGACGACGACGUUGAUAGGCCGGGUGUGUAAGCGCAGCGAUGCGUUGAGCUAACCGGUACUAAUGAACCGUGAGGCUUAACCUUACAACGCCAAAGAAGU